AUUGAACGCUGGCGGCAGGCCUAACACAUGCAAGUCGAACGGUAACAGGAAGAAGCUUGCUUCUUUGCUGACGAGUGGCGGACGGGUGAGUAAUGUCUGGGAAACUGCCUGAUGGAGGGGGAUAACUACUGGAAACGGUAGCUAAUACCGCAUAACGUCGCAAGACCAAAGAGGGGGACCUUCGGGCCUCUUGCCAUCGGAUGUGCCCAGAUGGGAUUAGCUAGUAGGUGGGGUAACGGCUCACCUAGGCGACGAUCCCUAACUGGUCUGAGAGGAUGACCAGCCACACUGGAACUGAGACACGGUCCAGACUCCUACGGGAGGCAGCAGUGGGGAAUAUUGCACAAAGGGCGCAAGCCUGAUGCAGCCAUGCCGCGUGUAUGAAGAAGGCCUUCGGGUUGUAAAGUACUUUCAGCGGGGAGGAAGGGAGUAAAGUUAAUACCUUUGCUCAUUGACGUUACCCGCAGAAGAAGCACCGGCUAACUCCGUG
rnacentral:rRNA from 1 species